rnacentral:rRNA from 1 species
CUACGGGUCGCAGCAGUCGAGAAUCUUCCACAAUGUACGAAAGUAUGAUGGAGCGACGCCGCGUGUGUGAUGACGGCCUUAUUGGUUGUAAAGCACUGUCAGAGGGGAAGAAAAAGCGUAAGAGUAAUAUGCUUGCGCUCUGACGUACCUUCAGAGGAAGCUCCGGCUAACUCCGUGCCAGCAGCCGCGGUAAUACGGAGGGAGCAAGCGUUGUCCGGAAUCAUUGGGCGUAAAGGGCACGUAGGCGGUCUUGUAAGUCGAAUGUGAAAUCUCACGGCUCAACCGUGAAACUGCGUUCGAAACUGCUUGACUUGAGUACGGGAGAGGUAUGCGGAAUUCCUGGUGUAGCGGUGGAAUGCGUGGAUAUCAGGAAGAACACCGGUGGCGAAGGCGGCAUACUGGCCCGAUACUGACGCUGAGGUGCGAAAGCGUGGGGAGCAAACGGGAUUAGAUACCCGAGUAGUC